AUUUACUUUUCUACAUUGGCUAGAGGUAUAGGGGGAGGGUUGAGAUCUCACAAACAUGUUUAACCCCGCCGCAUUUUUGCGCCUGUCCAAAGUCAGGAGCCUCUGGCCUUUGUUAGUCUUGUAUUAUUUUAAUUUUAGUUUCUUGUGUACAAUUUGGAAAUUAGUAUGGCGUUCAUUAUCACUGAACUAGUAUAUAUUUGUUUAGGGGCCAGUUGAAGGACGCCUCCGGGUGCGGGAAUUUCUCGCUACAUUGAAGACCUGUUGGUGACCUUCUGCUGUUGUUUUUUUCUAUGGUCGGGUUGUUGUCUCUUUGGCACAUUCCCCAUUUC
rnacentral:lncRNA from 1 species